AUUGAACGCUGGCGGCAGGCUUAACACAUGCAAGUCGAACGGUAACAUAGAGAAGCUUGCUUCUUUGAUGACGAGUGGCGGACGGGUGAGUAAUGCUUGGGAAUCUGGCUUAUGGAGGGUGAUAACUACGGGAAACUGUAGCUAAUACCGCGUAAUAUCGAAAGAUUAAAGUGUGGGACCUUCGGGCCACAUGCCAUAGGAUGAGCCCAAGUGGGAUUAGGUAGUUGGUGAGGUAAAGGCUCACCAAGCCGACGAUCUCUAGCUGGUCUGAGAGGAUGACCAGCCACACUGGGACUGAGACACGGCCCAGACUCCUACGGGAGGCAGCAGUGGGGAAUAUUGCGCAAUGGGGGCAACCCUGACGCAGCCAUGCCGCGUGAAUGAAGAAGGCCUUCGGGUUGUAAAGUUCUUUCGGUAGCGAGGAAGGUGGUUAGUUUAAUAGGCUAGCCAAUUGACGUUAACUACAGAAGAAGCACCGGCUAACUCCGUG
rnacentral:rRNA from 1 species